ensembl:lncRNA
GAAAACAUUAAGGACACCCCUCUACCCUCACCAUCAUCCUACCAUCAAUCAGACUGGAUAGAAAACAUUAAGGACACCCCUCUACCCUCACCAUCAUCCUACCAUCAGACUGGAUAGAAAACAUUAAGGACACCCCUCUACCCUCACCAUCAUUCUACCAUCAGACUGGAUAGAAAACAUUAAGGACACCCCUCUACCCUCACCAUCAUCCUACCAUCAAUCAGACUGGAUAGAAAACAUUAAGGACACCCCUCUACCCUCACCAUCAUCCUACCAUCAAUCAGACUGCAUAGAAAACAUUAAGGACACCCCUCUACCCUCACCAUCCUCCCAACUCUCGGCUGCUUCUUAUGUAUUGUUGUCUGUCCAUGGAGAGAGCUAGAGAACUGUUGAGCGCAUCUGAAAUGGCACCCUGUUCCCUAUCAAGUGCACUACUGCCCUAAGGGCCCUGGUUAAAAGUGCACUACUGCCCUAAGGGCCCUGGUUAAAAGUAGGGGCCUACAGUAUUUAGAGAAUAGGUUGCCAUUUGGGAACAUUCCUGAUGUAAAAUGUUUCUAUCCCCUCCUCUCUACUGCGUCUGUAUCUUGUAAAAACAGUUUCCUCAUCCUGCUGUGCCCUCGAAUUUUGACGGAUUCAUGCUUACACACACACACACACACACACACACACACACACACACACACAGGCAUGCAAUAACGUGUACAUACAGAUGUACACACAUGCAUGUAGCACGUUACACACACAUACACAUGCAGAAACACAUACUGAACAAUGUUAGAUUUUUCUGGGAUAAUUCUGGUGGUAAUAAUGUCAAUUUUUAUUUUUAUAUAUUUUUUUAAUCAUAAUGUCAUUACUCGUUAUGUAUUGUUCUAAAGCAAUGCUCUGUCAAUUUUCCUCCCAAAUUUCAAGAUGUCAUAUGAAAGGAUGUCCAAGUAACUUCUGGUGUCAAGGGAUGAUGUCUUGUUGAGUGUAAGACAACUCCCAUAAUGGUGUUUCACGGUGUUUCACGGUGUUUCACGGUGUUCUGAACAGUCUGUGUCCAGGUUGUUACUGGUUCACAUUCUGAACCUUAUUGCCAAGGGUUACUUUAUUGUUAAAUACUUUUUGGGACACAUGGAGUGUAAAAUGGACAAGCCACUACUGGUUUGAUAACACUCUAGUUCCCAGAUUGCUUUAUGAAAGGAUGUCAGUGUAACUAUUGGGGCUCAGGUGAAAUAGGUGUGGGGUUAACAUCUUUUGGACAAAUGGCCACAAUUUCCACUGUCGUAAUUCCCUUGUAUAAAACGCAUUGGUGUGUUUUCCUGCUCAUGUGUUGCUCACCCAGGGCUGUUUUCGCUCUGUUUCCUGGAUCUUGGUAGCAGGUCUGUUUCCUGGAUCUUGGUAGCAGGUCUGUUUCCUGGAUCUUGGUAGCAGGUCUGUGCUCUCUUGCCAACUUCUUAUGUAAUUGUCAUGCUAAAUGCUGACAGUAGAGUAGGCAAAAGCACAAACAGACCUGGGACCAGGCUAAUAUCUUGGCGCUGAAGUCUAUGAUGACUAUGCUACCUGAUGUACAUACAGCUCUAGAUUCUUCCUCUGGUCUCCAAUGCCUGUCUAGUAUGUACAGCUCUAGAUUCUUCCUCUGGUCUCCAAUGCCUGUCUAGUAUGUACUGCUUUCUCAGCUUUGCUCGCAAGUCCAACCUCUCCAGACACCUGCUUAGAUGUCAUAAACCUAAAUGAUAAUGAUGUAUAUUAACAUAACACCUUUUAUGAAACUCUGUUACUCUCUUCCUCUGGUCUCUCCAAUGCCUGUCUAGUAUGUACAGCUCUAGAUUCUUCCUCUGGUCUCUCAAUGCCUGUCUAGUAUGUACAGCUCUAGAUUCUUCCUCUGGUCUCUCCAAUGCCUGUCUAGUACGUACAGCUCUAGAUUCUUCCUCUGGUCUCAUCCAGUGCCGGGUAGAUUAUAGUUAUAAAAUAUCCCCCUCCUUGUAUACUGUCAGGUAGACCCAGCUCUAGAAUUACCCCCAAGGUGCUGUCUCUUCUUCGUUCUCCUUUAGAUACGGCUUUAGAAUCCCCAUCUAACUUCCUGUUUCUCUGGGCUCUGUCAUUGGCCUUCACUGCUUCUGCUGUGAGUGGGCAUGUCCCCACUCCACAGUGUCCAUCAAUCCUGGAAACUUUAAAACUGUCUUGGAUUGGAAUAUAUAUGCAUCGAUAGCCAAUCGGCUGGCUAAGGGUGAUAUAUAAUCCUUAUGAAAGAUGAGGCCUGUAGUCUUUCUGAAAUGUGUCUUUGUCUAAAGGAUAGCCUUGCUAUAGCAGCACCUAUGUAAGGGGGGUUGUUGAGUGGUGGUUUGGAAGUUAAGGGCUAUCCUCAAUCUUUGUGGCCCAAAACAGAUGCCCUUCUCUGGACUCCCCGGAUUCAUACAGUCCCUGAAUCUGGUGGGCAUGGAGCUCUGGGUAGCAGUUCUAGGACCAACCCUAAGCCAUAGGGCUCUGGUCUAAAGUAGUGCACUAUAUAGGGAACAGGGCUCUGGUCAAAAGUAGUGCACUAUAUAGGGAAACUGGUGCCAUUUGGAAUACAACUUUUUGUUUGCCAUAAAAAUAAAAAAAAAAGUGAAAUCUCCCAAAACAUUUUUUUCUCUCCUUUCUCCUGAAUUGAUCACAUCUUGUGUUCUCCAGUUUGUCUUUACUUAUUAUUUUUGGGAUUCCAUGCAGAAAAACAAUUAAUAAAAUAAGUCCUGCCUGUAAAUGGAGGUGUUUUGUGUAAAUUUGAGCUGGUUUCAAAGUGGUGGAAGGGCAGAGAGAGUGACAGCGUGGAGAGUCUUCUCUCCUCAAUGAAUACAUGGUCAUGAUGUCUUGUUGUCCUCGCUACACCUUAAAAGCUAGACUGGUGAAACAAGACUGUAAGCAUAUUAGCUUGGAUUCCAGGCUAGUUAAAAGCAUGAUCUGAUCUACCCUGUCAACUCGCUCAAGUGUCCGUGUUGAAAAGGCACUCUUAACCUAACCUGCUACAAGAACUGGUACCCCUAACCUAACCUGCUACAAGAACCGGUACCCCUAACCUAACCUGCUACAAGAACCGGUACCCCUAACCUAACCUGCUACAAGAACCGGUACCCCUAACCUAAACAGACCUAUCCAAUCUCAAUUGUCUUUCCUUGAUUCCUGUCUUCUCAAAAUGCAUUGGUCUGAAGGGUGUAGCCUGAUCCACUUUUCCAAAGAUGCCAUGUUACUUUGACUCCUAUUGAAAUGGGUCUUUUUGAUACUAUCUGUAAGUGAGCAGCCUCUGUGUGUGAUCCUUUUCAUACGAGACCGAUACGUGUCAGUCAAUCUGAAACGCACAAAGGAAUGGGGGAGGCUUUUGGGGUUAUGAUUGGAUACAUUUGGAUAAAUCCCUGAAAUGUAUUUGUUUUAUUUGUUAAAAACAAAACAAACAACAUAACUUCCCUCAUUUCCAGUCGGUGUGUUCGUUCAAAGAUUUUCCUGUGCACAUGAAUUUUUUUCUAAAUGUAAUUUUUUUUGGGAUAACUACUCUUCUGACUGCUGCCUGGUGAUUUACUAUGUACAUACAAACACACACAUAAUAUACAUCCUAAAUGACAGCCUGUCCCCUACAGAGUGCAUUACUUAGUGAACUACGUACAGUAGGGAAGAGAUUGUCAUUUGGGCUGCAUCCACAAACACACACACACACACACAUCUGCUAUGUUAUUUUGUUAAAUUUUUCUGAACCUGAGAGAUAAUUACAUUAUGCGGUAUAUAAAUAUAAUAUGAUAUAAUACCCAAUGGGGGAUUUCAUGUAUGGAGAAGGAAGGAAGACGAUUGGCUGCAUGUCUACAGGCCAUCAAUGAAUUGUCCAUUUGAUCAGUUGUUGAUCGAUUGAUUGGUCGUCAAUGAUUCAGAGAAUGACACCUUCGUCUCUGAUUCUUCUCGUUCUUCCCCCUCUUUGUAAAUGUUUAUUUAUUUAUGCAGAAAUAUAAUGAUUUUAUUAAGCAUGGAAAUAAUACUAAACAAAUGUUUCAGAAUAUAAUUCAAUUAUGGGCUUUUAUUUUACUUUUUUUUUUUUUAAGAAGAAGAAAUAAAGUCAUUUUCCAUUCCUUUUACUGUUUUGUGAUUUUUGUUCUGUUUCAAAACAACACAGAAUUCAAAGGUCAAGCCGGUAUGCUGUUGAAAAUAGUUUGUCGUUAGUGAAGGGCAAGAGGUGGACCUACAGUAGGCCUUAGCGUGUCCAGUUUUAUG